rnacentral:rRNA from 1 species
UAAGUUGGUAGUUUUAUUUAAUAAGAGAAUAGAGUCUGUUAAUAAUAAGUAUUACUUAGAACAUUAAAGUGAAAUUAUAGUUUAAUAGUAUUGUGAAAGAAAGUUAUAUGUUUGUUAUUUAAAAAAAGAAUACUUAAAUAGUAUUACCUUUUGUAUCAGGGGUAAACAAUAUUUUUGUUAUAGUGUAUUUUUCUCGAAGUAAUAAGGGUUAGAUCUAAAAUAUUGUUUAGGUGGAAUACUAAUAUUAAAUUUAGGUUUAGAGAUGAAAUUUUACUCGAUUAUUAUCUAUCUAGUUUUCUCCGAAAGAAGGUGAACUUUGAAGUUGGCUUUAAUAAGUCUAAUAUUUUAACGCAGGAGGGUCAAGCUUCUUGUGGGUGUAAAUAUUAAAAUAAGAGUUAAGAUAAUAUUCAUUUUGGCUUAAGAGCAGCUAUAUUGAUAGAGCGUUUGAGAUAAGAUUAGUUAAAAAGUUAUUUUUUUAUUUUAUAUGUUUAGAUAGGAGAAAUUAAUUUUAAGUAAUAUGAAAUUAGUUAUAAUGUUUAUAUAAGUAAAUUUAUAUGUAGGUAGUUGAACUUUCUGGAUAUUAGAUAAUUUGAUUGUUAGUUAUUUAUGGUAUAAAAAAGGAACUCGGCAAAGAUUGCUUCUGCCUGUUUAUCAAAAACAUGUCUGUAUGUUUGUUAAUAUAAAGUCUAACCUGCCCACUGGAUUUUUGAAGGGCCGCGGUAUAUUGACCGUGCUAAGGUAGCAUAAUAAUUAGUCUUUUAAUUGUAGGCUGGAAUGAAUGGUUGGACAAGAAGUAAGCUGUCUUUUUUAUAAAUUUUGAAUUUUACUUUUAAGUGAAAAGGCUUAAAUAAAUUUAAGGGACGAUAAGACCCUAUAAAACUUUACAGUUAAGAGAUAUUUAAUAAUUGAUUUGUAGCUUAAUUAUCUUGUAGCUGUUUUGUUGGGGAGACAAUGAUAGAAGGCAAAAAUAUCUGUUUGAUAAAUGAAAAUAAAGAUGUUUAGUAAAGCUGAUCCUUUAUUAAGGAUUAAAAGAGUAAGUUACUUUAGGGAUAACAGCGUAAUUUUUUCUGAGAGUUCUUAUCGAUGAAAGUAGUUGCGACCUCGAUGUUGAAUUAAAGUUUCUAUUAAAUGCAGCAGUUUAAAUAGAGGGUCUGUUCGACCUUUAAAUCUUUACAUGAUUUGAGUUCAAACCGGUGUGAGCCAGGUUGGUUUCUAUCUUUAAAUUUAUUUUGAAUCUUUUUAGUACGAAAGGAUUAAAAGAUUAGAAAAUUUCUUCUAAAAAGAAGAAUUAUAAACUU